rnacentral:tRNA from 1 species
GGCGAAGUGGCUCAGUGGUCAGAGCGCGAAUUUAAUGACCGGAAAGUCCGUGGUUCGAAUCCGACCUCCGCCU